ACGGGGCCAUACAUCUGGGGAGGAUCCCCUAAUUCCAGGCUGAGGGUAACUGAGACCGUGGAAGGCAAAACCAUGGAUAAGGGAGGAAUACUGUAUACAAAAUCAUUGCCAUUGAGGUUUUGAUUGAUUUGCAUUUGCCUCUGCAAUGGAGAAACUGAGCAGUCACAAAGCAGUAGAUGAACAAUAAAGCGGCUGAAGCAGGAAAUACAAGGAGUUUCAUGGUAUUAGAUAAAACUUUCACCCUGGAUCUUGAUAGAACCAGAUCAUGGGAGGCCAGCAUCUUGCUUAUAGAUACUCUUGAAUGCUAUUGAAAGGCCCAUUAAAUUAAAUAUACAAACCCUUGGCAACAGGGGAUUGCCAUGAAUUUGACUGUUAUCUGCAGUGUGUCAGGAAAUACUUCGUGAUGUUUUCCUCAACAGUGACACAGAAAAUAAAUUGAAAUUAAUUGUUUUUAGUUGAUUAACUUUAUGGCAAUAUGCAUAUACUUUGGAGGUUAAGGAUGUUGGGAAAACAAGCAUCCACUGAAGAAGAAAUUGCAUGAGAAGCCUUGGAAGAGGAGAACUCUCACAUACAAGUGAGAGAGGCUUUGACAGUAAUGAGAGUAUUAAGGGCUGGACGGGCCCUUAAAUUGUGUUCAUUAAGUGGUGUAUGCCUUUUUUUUUUGUAAAGUUUAUUAAGACUCUUGAGA